ACAGCAGUAGCCGCGGUAAAACGUAGGGUGCGAGCGUUAAUCGGAAUUACUAGGCGUAAAGCGUGCGCAGGCGGUUUGUUAAGACAGAUGUGAAAUCCCCGGGCUCAACCUGGGAACUGCAUUUGUGACUGGCAAGCUAGAGUAUGGCAGAGGGGGGUGGAAUUCCGCGUGUAGCAGUGAAAUGCGUAGAUAUGCGGAGGAACACCGAUGGCGAAGGCAGCCCCUGGGCCAAUACUGACGCUCAUGCACGAAAGCGUGGGGAGCAAACAGGAUUAGAUACCCCCGUAGUCCCUGUCUCUUAUACA
rnacentral:rRNA from 1 species